rnacentral:rRNA from 1 species
CCUACGGGAGGCAGCAGUGGGGAAUAUUGCACAAUGGGGGAAACCCUGAUGCAGCGACGCCGCGUGGGUGAAGAAGCGCCUCGGCGCGUAAAGCCCUGUCAGCAGGGAAGAAAAUGACGGUACCUGAAGAAGAAGCCCCGGCUAACUACGUGCCAGCAGCCGCGGUAAUACGUAGGGGGCAAGCGUUAUCCGGAUUUACUGGGUGUAAAGGGGGCGUAGACGGGGAUGCAAGUCAGGUGUGAAAGCCCGGGGCGCAACCCCGGGACUGCACUUGGAACUGAGUGGCUAGAGUGCAGGAGGGGCAGGCGGAAUUCCUGGUGUAGCGGUGAAAUGCGUAGAUAUCAGGAGGAACACCAGUGGCGAAGGCGACUUGCUGGACUGCAACUGACGUUGAGGCCCGAAAGCGUGGGGAGCAAACAGGAUUAGAUACCCUAGUAGUC